UGUAUAUGAUUUGAGUGAAAAUGGAUGGUAGAAUAAGAAGUACGUUUGAUAAACAAUGUAUUUUGAAAUCGGUAUAAGUAGGUAUUUUGAAUAAUGAUAAAUGAUUUAGGUAUAAAACAUGAUCGGGGAAUCACCCCUAACUCGUUGGUGAAGUCGUUUUAAGGGAAGAGGGGUGGAGUCAAUCGUCAAGGUAAGGAAGUCACUCCAAUCUCGAUGAUACAUCUCCACUAGUUGUUACAAGGAAUAUGAAUUUAAAUUAUAUGAAAAUC
rnacentral:lncRNA from 1 species